GGCCGCGGGAAUUCGAUUCAGGCCUAACACAUGCAAGUCGAACGGAAAAGCCCUGCUUGCAGGGUACUCGAGUGGCGAACGGGUGAGUAACACGUGGGUGAUCUGCCCUGCACUUCGGGAUAAGCCUGGGAAACUGGGUCUAAUACCGGAUAGGACCAUCGUUUAGUGUCGGUGGUGGAAAGUUUUUCGGUGCAGGAUGAGCUCGCGGCCUAUCAGCUUGUUGGUGGGGUAAUGGCCUACCAAGGCGUCGACGGGUAGCCGGCCUGAGAGGGUGGACGGCCACAUUGGGACUGAGACACGGCCCAGACUCCUACGGGAGGCAGCAGUGGGGAAUAUUGCACAAUGGGCGCAAGCCUGAUGCAGCGACGCCGCGUGGGGGAUUAAGGGAUUCGGGUUGUAAACUCCUUUCAACCAUGACGAAGCGUAAGUGACGGUA
rnacentral:rRNA from 1 species